UACGUAGGGUGCAAGCGUUAAUCGGAAUUACUGGGCGUAAAGCGUGCGCAGGCGGUUGUGCAAGACAGAUGUGAAAUCCCCGGGCUUAACCUGGGAAUUGCAUUUGUGACUGCACGGCUAGAGUGUGUCAGAGGGGGGUAGAAUUCCACGUGUAGCAGUGAAAUGCGUAGAGAUGUGGAGGAACACCGAUGGCGAAGGCAGCCCCCUGGGUUAACACUGACGCUCAGGCACGAAAGCGUGGGGAGCAAACAGG
rnacentral:rRNA from 1 species